NNNNNUGGAUGNNGGGUCGNGANNAACGCUGGCGGCGUGCCNNNCACAUGCNAGUCGAGCGAGAGGAGUUCUUCGGAACAAAUCUAGCGGCGGACGGGUGAGUAACACGUGGGCAACCUGCCUUAUAGAGGGGAAUAGCCUUCCGAAAGGAAGAUUAAUACCGCAUAACGUUGCAGUUUCGCAUGAAACAGCAAUUAAAGGAGCAAUCCGCUAUAAGAUGGGCCCGCGGCGCAUUAGCUAGUUGGUGAGGUAACGGCUCACCAAGGCGACGAUGCGUAGCCGACCUGAGAGGGUGAUCGGCCACAUUGGGACUGAGACACGGCCCAGACUCCUACGGGAGGCAGCAGUGGGGAAUAUUGCACAAUGGGGGAAACCCUGAUGCAGCAACGCCGCGUGAGUGAUGAAGGUUUUCGGAUCGUAAAACUCUGUCUUUGGGGACGAUAAUGACGGUACCCAAGGAGGAAGCCACGGCUAACUACGUGCCAGCAGCCGCGGUAAUUC
rnacentral:rRNA from 1 species